UACGUAGGGGGCUAGCGUUGUCCGGAAUCAUUGGGCGUAAAGCGCGUGUAGGCGGCCCGGUAAGUCCGCUGUGAAAGUCGGGGGCUCAACCCUCGGAAGCCGGUGGAUACUGUCGGGCUCGAGUACGGAAGAGGCGAGUGGAAUUCCUGGUGUAGCGGUGAAAUGCGCAGAUAUCAGGAGGAACACCUAUUGCGAAGGCAGCUUACUACGCAGAUAUUGACGCUCAUACACGAAAGCGUGGGGAUCAAACAGG
rnacentral:rRNA from 1 species